CCAGAUUCUUUAUCAUUAUAGGUUAUUACCAGGUAUUGAAUAUAGUUCCCUUUACUGUACAGGAGGUCCUCGUUGUUUACCUAUUUUAUAUACAGUAGUACGUGCUCUUGGUCAUCACUCCGUAUAAUCACAGGUGUCGAUCCAUUCGCUAUGGAGAAAGCGCAGAACGGUGGCGGGCGGCCAGGUGGGGCAGCCCUCAAGACCGAUCAGUUGCCGUCUACUUGUGUGACAAGUGUCGGGUGUCCCAGGCAGCCUCGUGUCAAAGGCAGCGGUUCUCAAGGUGGUGUCGCAACUCUGUGAAAUGUUUCAAUCCAUUUUUCUUUUCCUUAAUAGUGUGCUGACAUCUCUGAAUUAUUUUUGUUCAAAGCAUACCUUAGAAUGGAUGCAAGCCUUUCUUGAUGACACUGUCUCUCAUCUAAUAUUCUGCUGUGCUUUCUUGUUUUGGAGAAGGGGUGGGGUUAAAGCCAGCAUUCAGGGAAUUGUACACGAGCCUGGGAAUGCCCACGGGGGUGUGUUCACACACCAUUCAUCAUGUGUGUUUGUGCAAAGUGCUCUGGAGUUGCCGGUCUGGAGGAGUCCUGGGCUUGGGGUCAGCACAACAAACUCAGUUCCCAUCUGAUUGUGGCUGAAAAGCAGCCUGUCUGAGCCUGCAACCUACCCCCAUGCCUAAAAACUUCUGAGAUGGUCCUUAAAAAUUGGAAAUUGUGGGAGUGAGUGGUGGAUACCAGCCCACGUUACAGUCUUUAUUAUUUUUCUUGGUAAUCUUCCCAUCAUUUUUUUAAAAAAUUAUUUAUUUUUAAUUGGAGUAUAAUUGCUUUACAAUGGUGUGUUGGUUUCUGCCAUACAUCAACAUGAAUCAGCCAUAGGGAUACAUAUGUCCCCUCCCUCUUGAACCUCCUCCCUCUCACCUCCCACCCUCUAGGCUGUACCAGAGCACCAGUUUGAGCUGCCUGCAUCACACAGCAAAUUCCCACUGACUGUCUGCUUUAUGUAUGGUGAUAUAUAUGUUUCAGUGCUUUUCUCUCAGUGUCCCACUCGCUCCAUCCCCUACUGUGUCCACAAGUCUGUCUCUAUUGCUGCCUUGCAAAUAGGUUAAUCAGUACCAUUUUUCUGGACUCCACAUACAUGCAUUAAUACAUAUUUGUUUUUCUAACUUACUUCACUUCACUCUGUGUAAUAGGCUCUAGGCUCAUCCACCUCAUUAUAACUCUCUUUGAAUGGGGCAAACAGACCUGGGUUCCUUACGGCACAGAACUGAGUGGACAUCACCCCUCCUUUGACCUUCCAGAAAGAUCACAGAAAGCCCAGCUCUCAUUCCCACUGCAGCCCAGUUUGCAAUCAUCUCCCAGGCUGAAGCAGAGAUGAACUCUUCAGAAACAUUGGUUUCUGCAAGGCCCUGACCACCUUAUGGAAAACCUGACCUGCAAAUGACACUUGUUUCUUCCAUCCUCUAAUAUUGCGUGUGCUGCCCUUCACCCGCUUCCCUGCUGUCCCAGAUCCUACUUGCCUUUCAGAGUACAGCCAGUGUCCCUCCUUUUCCAUGAAGUCUGCCUCAAAUAAAAUUUGAACCACCCCCCCCAACAAAGGAGAUAGAGGUACAUAUCAGUUUUAUAUAAUAAUUAGAGAUGAGAUUUCAGAAUUAACCCAUUACGCUAGUUGAUUUCAAUCAGCCAUCUGAGAAAAUGGGCCUUGACAGUCUUUCUUUUGGAAAAUCAAAAUUGCCAUGUUGAAAAAUGCUUUCACCUCUGCCCACUUUAUCUGUCGUUAAUCAUGGGAAGAGCUGAAGGAAGCAGAUUGCUUCUCCAGAGGCACCUUUUUCAUGUAAUGCAUGUAGUUCAAUUAAAAUAUGCAGAUGAAUGCAAAGUUAAUAAUUAAGGGAAUGGAAGAAACAAAGUCUUGCUAUUUUUAUUAAUUACUUAGGCUGAAACCUACAGUAUGACUUUUUAAAAUUAAUGGAACAGAAUUCUACUGCUCGAUCAUUCUAAUCCUAGUCCUAAAAUGUACUAUCAAUCAUCUUUCUCAGCUGUUAGUACCCUUUGGCAAAAGGCGUAUCCCUCCAUCAGCUGGAGCUUUCCAGAUGGCUCAAGGGUAAAGAAUUCACCUGCUGAUGAAGGAGAUGCAGGAGAUAAGGUUUGAUCCCUGGAUCAAGAAGACCCCCUGGAGGAGGAAAUGGCAGCCUACUCUAGUAUCCUUGCCAAGAAAAUCCCAUGGACAGAGGAGCCUGGCAGGCUACAGUCCAUAGGGGCGCAAAGAGUUGGACAGGCCUGAGUGGCAGAGUGCACACACACUCCUUCAGUGAGGCUGACUUCCCAGGGAAGUCCUUUCAACUUUCAAUCUAGUCUCAGCUGACAUUGCUAGAAAGCCAUUUCUUUCAAUGACAUUUCGAUAUUGGAGGCCUCAGUAAGUUAAGGAUGUCAGCUUGAUUUUUAUAUUGGCAAUGUCCACCAUUCUGAUUCAACGGCUAAACCAUUUCAGGAAAGAUGGAACUUCUUCCUGACCUGAGAGGAAUUCCAUUUUCUUGGUGAUGAGCUCUGUGGCCAGAAUGGCCCAGGGAACCUUGCAGGCCUGCCACCUUCGCGGUGGGAUUUCCUCCUCAGUUGAGCCUGAGACUCCACACAGAGGCUUUUUUUUUUUUUCCCCCAACCCUAAGCACAUUUUAUCAACUUCAUAAUCCUCAAGCAUGACUGUACUCUUCCCUUCAAGGUCUUGCAGGCUCCGUGAACGCUUUUCCAACGACUCCAGCCCACAAUCACCGUUUUGUUCAAACUCCUAUUUAGUGUCACAUAGUUUAAUAGUCAAUUGACCUCUAAUUACAGUAAUUAGAUUGUAAGCUCCUCAAAAGCAAGGAUUUAGCCCGAUGCUAGGCCCAGAGGCGGUUUUGGUCAGUGCUGACUGACUGAUGGAUUUGCAGUUCUGGAUGGUUUCCAGCCAGCAGGAAAAACGGGUGAAUUAGCACAGCCGAGAGCACCCUGUCGGCUGGCUGAGCGCACCCUCCAUCUUUUUGUGCUUUGCCAGAGGCCACUGGUCACUGCCAGGCAGCCCAGAGAGCAUCACCUAGAGCCCUGGUGAUUUCUUCCAGAUCCUUUCUUCUCAUUUAGAAACCUACAUUUUGAGCUGGGGCUUGCCAUUUCCCAUUCCCUGUUCUGAGAAAUCAGGAAGAAGCAGCGGGAGAGAGGGGCAGAGAGGUAAACAUUUUAGAUCUGUUUUGCUAGAACCUUACUUUCCUGUGCAGGCAUCACAAAUAAAAUGAGGACACGUUGCACAUUUCAGAGUGAGGAAAAUGCUGUGCAGAGAUUGAUUUAUACAAUUUUUUUUUUUUGCAAGAUUAGUCCAGAAGUUGGAUUAAUAUUUUAAUCAUAUUCUCUUGAGAGGAAAAGGCAGCUGGUGAAAUUGUUGGAGGUGACAUGCCAAUCUACAUAGAAACCAAGUGUGGUUUGGAGACCACCAUGGAAAUAAUAACUUCAGUCAUUAAGUGGAGAAUGAAAGGAAGAAAGAAACCAGAUAAGUUUUCCAGGAUCAAGAAGUUAUUUUUAUUAUAAACUAACCUUAAGGAGACCAUAGGCUUUAUUAUUAUUUUAACAUUUAAAUUCAAAUACUGAUGGCUUUAUCUUUUCACUGCUGAUUACUCUUUGGCAGAGUAAGCCAUGAGGGCUAUAGAAAAUCUUUCAUCUUUUUCUUUUUAAGUUGCCAUUUUCAUUGUGUAUAUAAGCUCAGUUGUGCAGGCAAAGCCUGGCAGGGAGCACAGAGUGUCACAAUUUGUGUCUUGAUAUAGAAUUUCUCUCCUCCUGUGAACUUGGCUUCCCAAGGCCUGAAUUCUAACAGUUGGUACAACUGCACUGGCAUCCUGAAAUCUGAAGGAAGAGGCCUUUCUCUCUGUCUUUUUGUUUGUCUGUUUGUUUUCUCACAGGCUUGGGUAACACAAAAUUUUUACAAUUGUCUGUAGCUGGCAUUAGAACUAAGUGUCUGGAAUGUAACGUGUUGGGCUCUGGGAAAUGCAGUCUUUUGCUUGGGAACUGCUCUCAGUUGGAAAUUGAUGUUUAGAUUAAUACUGGGAAUUUGUUUGUUCUUUUGAAAUUUGUGAAAUUAAGGCUGGUACUGUGGUACUGUGAUGUUCGGGUGUGUUUUGUUGACCCUUAGAUAUUUCAGAAAAGAAGAAAAUGAGAGCCUUAGGGUUGAAAUGAUCAAACUUUGAAGGUGUUAAGGCUCUCCUCCAAUUACCCUGGCAGAUGGCCCAGGGGGCAGCUGCUAACAAAGGAUCGCAGAUUCCACCCAAAGGCCUGAAUACCAUCUCUGCUGCCUGGAACUGAGUCAGUAAAAGGAAAUAGGGUUGGGCAGAAUUUUGGACUGAGAUUUCUCUGUAGCAGCAACAGAUUGAACUGAUAAUAGGAGAAAGUUUGUAUUGUUAACUUUUACAAGGUGGCAGUCAAUUUCGGGAAUUUUACAGUGCUGGCGUAUUGUUUGGGCCAUAUUUUCAUCUGGUGCUUAUUGUCCACCCUGCUUGGUUAGAUAGCAUAGCUGAGCAGGACCCAAGAGGAGAGAGAAUUGAGGCUAACUGUGGCAUUGGGGCUAAUGCAGUUAAUGCCCUGAUUGUUUCAGCAGCUUUUGGGGCCACAAUAGAGAGGCAUUCAUAAAAUCCCCGAAGAAAUAACGUGGCCUACUCUUUGACUCCUGGAGGACACAGAGGAAGAGAAUUUAGGAGCCGACAUGGAGGAAGUAGCUCCAUGAAGGAGAAGUCUUUCAGAUCUCUCUCACCAGCCACAGUUGAGAAACACAUUAUCAAUUUAUUGCUCUUCAGCUUCAAAGUCUCCCUUCAUUACUUACUCGACUGUGAUGGAGAUGGAUCCAUUAAGCAUUUCUGCUUUGCGGUGAGUGCCGUGUUCUGAGUUGCCAGUCAAGGGCACCGGGGGGACACUGUAGAGAAAGGGGCUUCUCCUCCUGGCUUCAGGGUGCUGCUCCUUUGUCACCUUCCCACUCCCAUCACACGGCCGCGAGGGGCGGGUGGGAGACUCCAGCGCUGCCCGUCCAGACCGCAUGGUCCCCGUGAGCUCAUCGCCCUGGCACUGGUCCAGUGCCCACCUCACUGUAGCCCUUCCAGCAUGGACAUCACACUGGGCCUCCUGCUGCUCUGCUGGUGAGAAGGCUUCCGAUGACCCAACUCCUUCUGUGUGCCUGUCUGCUAGUCUUGGCCACUUGGACUCCAGAAGACAGCUUUUGGUUUGCUGGCUCUGGCUGCAUUUUCCUUCUGCCAGUUUGGCUUGCCUGCACCCCAGAGGGUUAUUUCCUGUUUGCCUGGUGACUGUGGAGCAGCUCUGGUCCAAGCAAUUCACUAAUUUUUAGCAUUCACUGACUGUCUCCAUCUAUCACACCCGCUCUGAUAGGUUCUGAAUCUCUUCUUUGGGAAGGAGCCCCUUCCAAGUGUAUUCAUUCCUUAUACUCUCUCUCAGAGUAUUUUUGUUGUUGUUAGAGUACUGUUUACACUUUUAUGGGGUUACCCUGUGGCUCAGACAGUAAAGAAUCUGCCUGCAAUGUGGAAGACCUGAGUUUGAUCCCUGAGUUGGGAAGCUCCCCUGAAGUAGGAAAUAGCAACCCACUCCAGUAUUCCUGUGGAAAAUUCCAUGGACAGAGGAGCCUGACAGGCUAUAGUCCAUGGGAUUUCAAAGAGUCAGACAUGACUGGGCGUGCACGCAAGCAUACUCUCCCAGCUCACAGAAAUCAUUAUCCCUCUUUUACAGUUGCGUAGUUCUCCAUUGUCGGUACUACAGUUUGUUCAGCCGCUCUUUUCUGCAUGGUUAUUUCAAUAUGGCUGUUUAACAUGCUUAUUUUUUUAAGAGCAUGGUUGUUUUCAAAUAAUAUUAUAAUAAAUCAUCUGCAUAAAUAUAUUUUUUUGUAUUUUUGAAGAUGUAUCUUCAGAAUCGGUUCCUAGAAGUGGGAUUGCUCGGUUGAGAAGUACCUGAGUCUUUUAGCUAGUCAAGGCCAAGAUCCCCUCUUACAGGUCUGUGCCACUUUGUGUUCCCACCAACAGUGACUGAGAGCGCCUGUUUUCCUCUUACCUUGCCAACAGGAUGUGUUGUGAUGCUUUCACAUUUUUGCUUAUCUGAUAACUGAGAGAUGGUAGAGUUUUAACUUGCAUUUCUUUAAUGAUAAGUUGUUUGAAUAUCUUUUCAUGUGUUUAAAUGACAUAUGUUUUAAAAUAAAUUUUAUGUUCCUACCUUCUUUCUGUUUUUCCUAUUGACUUUAGUCAUUUCUGCCUCUUAAAGAAUUCUUUAAAUAUUGAGUGUGUUAGCCCCUUGUCUCUGGUACACGUUACAAAUAUUUUCCCCAGCAUGUCAACAGCCUUUUGACUUUGCAUGAGGUACUUUUGCCAUACAAGUCGAUCUAUUAUUUUCUUUCCUGGAUAAUGAGUCAUGGUUAGAAAGACUUUCUCUGUACCAAAGUUACAGAAGAAUGUACCCAUGUUUUUUCUUAUUCUUGUAUAGUUUCAAUGUCUAUAUUCAGAUUCAUGAUUCAUUUAGAGUUUAUUCUUGUGUUUAGUGUAGAUACAGAUGAUCUUUUUCCAGUUUCCCCUACCCAAUUUCCCCUACCAUUGCCCCAGCAAUUUGAGAUGGCCUUUGUCACACACCAAAUUUCCAUAUGUACUUAAGUCUCUUCAGGGACUUUUUAUUCUAUUCUACUGAUCUGUUUACCUAAUCAUAUGCCAGUACCCAACUGUUUCAGAGAUAAAGGCUUCAUAGCAGAUUUAGAGUUCAGUAAAGCCAAUUUCCUUUACUGCUGGUUUUUAAAAAUUGAUCUCCUGACUCUUCUUGUGAAUUGAUUUUUCCAUACUAACAUUAAUAUCAACUUGUCCUUGACAUUAAUAUGAUUCAAUUAUGUGAUGCUAAACAGAGGAAGCAGUUCAGGAACUCAGAGGUACAUCUGCAACAGCAGUGAAUAAUUCAGCCAGUGGGAAUCAAUGACAGAGAGUUUGGCCCUGGAAGAAGAUUGAGGACUAUCAGUAGCCUAGAUGGAGUGAGAAAAGUCAUAAAGGGAGGAGUCAGACCCCAGGUAAGAUCCAUAUCCUGGAAGUCAUGGUUGGCUAGAGCAUCCAAUCAGAAGUUCAGAAGCAGUGGCCAAGCCCAGAAGAAGUUGGGGAAUUACAGCCUUACCCAACUGUGGUAAAGAGCCAGCAGACUCAAUGUGGGGGCCUCGAAUUCUGAGUUCACGGGUGAAGUGAAUUUAAAUGACCCAUUGGGUAGGAAAAUUCUCAAUUCUCUAUUCAAAUGGCCAACAAUGUGGCUUUAGAGUUUUGUUUAAACGUAUUUAUGCCUGACAUAUUUCUGGAGUAAGCUUUAUUUCAUUUUGUUCCUGGGAAAUCUAAGUUCCUUCUUGCAGAGCUCGAUAAUUUGAAACUGAAAGUUUUUAAAUGCGUCUUAAACAGCCACUUUCCCUCCCCUACCCACACAUUUACCAAAAUAAACAAGGCCACUGUCUGAUUUGCAUAGCAGUGAGAGCUGAUGCAAAUUCUCACAUUUGGGGCUAUUUCAGUUUCUGGAGAUGGAAAGGGUUCCUUUCCUUAAAUAAUCUUGAGCAUGGUAUCCUUUCUAAAGCAUGGUUACUGUAAAGCGAAAGCAUUUGAGGAAAUAAAGUGUUCAUGGUAAAAGAAAAACUUUGGAUGGUGUCAGGUUUGAUUUUUGCAGUAAGAACACACCACAUG